AUGUAUGGGGAUCUGCCAUCAACUCUAGCAAACUGCACAAAUCUCAUAACCAUCAACCUCAACUGCAACAAUUUCAGCGGACAACUCACCAAGGUCAAUUUUUCUAGCCUACCCAAUCUAAUGUCUUUAGAUCUUAUGCGGAACAACUUCGAUGGCACAAUUCCAGAAACUAUAUACUCUUGCAGAAAUCUAAUUGCACUGCGAUUAUCUUCCAAUAAGUUCCACGGCCAGUUAGCAAAAGGGCUCGGCAAUCUGAAGUCCCUGUCGUUCCUGUCACUUUAUAAUAAUAAUCUUACAAACAUAACAGAUGCACUUCAGAUUCUUGGAAGCUCCAAGAACCUCAGCACCCUUCUUAUUGGGCGUAACUUCAGGCAUGAGAACAUGCCAGAGGAUGACACCAUUGGCAGUUUUGAAAAUAUUCGGUUUCUUGCUCUAAGCUAUGUCUUCUACCUUGACAUAUCAAACAACAGCCUCACGGGGGAAAUUCCAACAACAUUGACCAAUAUGCCAAUGCUAGAGUCAGCAAAGACAGAUGCCAAUUCGAACCAAAGGGUCUUCAUACUGCCUGUUUAUCCAACUCUAUCACAUCAAUAUCGCCAACCUUUCGCUUUCCCUAAAUUGCUGGAUCUAAGCAAUAAUAAGUUCACUGGUGAGAUCCCUUCGACGAUCGGUCAAUUGAAAUCCCUCCAUUCACUCAAUUUGAGCUUCAACAACUUAACAGGUCAGAUCCCAGAAUCAACAUGCAACCUCACCAGCCUGCAGGUCCUAGACUUGUCGAACAACAAUCUCACUGGUGCAAUCCCAGCUGCAUUGGACAGCCUGCACUUCCUUGCAGCGUUUAACGUUUCUGACAAUGAUCUAGAAGGUCCUAUUCCAUCUGGAGGCCAGUUUAACACAUUUGGGACAUCUAGCUUUGACGGGAAUACAAACCUCUGUGGAUCUAUACUCAUUCAUAGAUGUGGUUCAGCAGAAGCACCUCCUGUCACUGUUCUGUCAACAAAACAAACUGAUUACAAGGUGGCCUUUGUGAUUGCCUUCAGUGCGUUCUUUGGUGUAGGGGUGCUGUAUGAUCAGAUAGUCCUAUCUAGGUAUUUUGGCUAG
rnacentral:rRNA from 1 species